rnacentral:misc_RNA from 1 species
UCAAUGAACCAACAAAAGAAAGAAACAAAGUUAGAAGGUAAUUUAGCCUGCGCAUCGGAAUUUAAUUAGUUAAAAACCAUAGAAACACGAAUAUGUAAUGUCAGUUCAUGUCACAUCAUUUCAUAAAACUAGAAUGCAUUUGCCUAUUACUUCACCCAAUGAUGGCUUGGGAGAGCAUUUUGUAUCCAGUAAGCCAAAAUGCUGUCUGUUUCCCAGAUAUGGCUCCAAAUUGUGCUCAAAACACCAACUAUACAUACAGGUCGUGUUUUCAAGGUUUUGACCCUUUUGUUUUGUUUGAACAAUUUGUUUGGAUUGAUGCCCAAUUGGUAAUUUUGAUGUUCAAAUGAAUUUAGGUAUUCUGAUAUGCAAG